AGCUCCAAUAGCGUAUAUUAAAGUUGUUGCGGUUAAAAAGCUCGUAGUUGGAUUUCUGCUGAUGUUUGCCAACCCCUUCGGGGAGUUCGGAGGACUGAUGCUUUUCUUGUUUUUUAUGUUGGUACUUGAUUGUACUGCAUAGAGAGCAGGACUUUUACUUUGAGGAAAUUAGAGUGUUUCAAGCAGGCUACUGCCUUGAAUACAUUAGCAUGGAAUAAUAGGAUAAGACUUUGGUUUUAUUUUGUUGGUUUAUAGAGCUAAGGUAAUGAUUAAUAGGAAUAGUCGGGGGCAUUCGUACUUAACUGUCAGAGGUGGAAUUCUUGGAUUUGUUAAAGACGAACUACUGCGAAAGCAUUUGCCAAGGAUGUUUUCAUUG
rnacentral:rRNA from 1 species